rnacentral:rRNA from 1 species
GAUUAACGCUGGCGGCGUGCCUGACACAUGCAAGUCGAACGGGUGCUAGUUGCCCGCAAGGGUGGCUGGCGCUAGUGGCGGACGGGUGAGUAACACGUGGGCAACCUGCCUGAGAGUGCAGAAUAACCCUGCGAAAGCAGAGCUAAUACUGCAUGUGGUUGUCGGAUGGCAUCAUCUGACAACUAAAGUCGCAAGACGCUCUCAGAUGGGCCCGCGGCCUAUUAGCUAGUUGGUGAGGUAACGGCCCACCAAGGCAAUGAUGGGUAGCUGGUCUGAGAGGACGGACAGCCACACUGGGACUGAGACACGGCCCAGACUCCUACGGGAGGCAGCAGUGGGGAAUUUUCCGCAAUGGGCGAAAGCCUGACGGAGCAACGCCGCGUGAGGGAUGAAGUCUCUAGGGAUGUAAACCUCUGUUGGGAGGGACGAAGAUCUGACGGUACCUCCUGAGGAAGCCCCGGCUAACUACGUGCCAGCAGCCGCGGUAAUACGUAGGGGGCGAGCGUUAUCCGGAUUUACUGGGUGUAAAGAGCGCGUAGGCGGUUCCGUAAGUUGGUUGUGAAAGUUCGAGGCUCAACCUCGAAACUGCGUCCAAUACUGCGGGGCUGGAGUGCAAGAGAGGCA